rnacentral:rRNA from 1 species
CACGUAGGAGGCGAGCGUUGUCCGGAAUCAUUGGGCGUAAAGAGCGCGCAGGCGGCUUGGCAAGUCGGGUGUGAAAUCCCGGGGCUCAACCCCGGGACUGCAUUCGAUACUGUCAGGCUAGAGGUAGGUAGGGGAGAUCGGGAAUUCCUGGUGUAGCGGUGAAAUGCGCAGAUAUCAGGAGGAACACCGGUGGCGAAGGCGGGUUGCUGGGCCGACACUGACGCUGAUGCGCGAAAGCCAGGGGAGCGAACGGG